rnacentral:rRNA from 1 species
GAUCAUGGCUCAGGAUGAACGCUAGCUACAGGCUUAACACAUGCAAGUCGAGGGGCAGCAUGGUCUUAGCUUGCUAAGACUGAUGGCGACCGGCGCACGGGUGAGUAACACGUAUCCAACCUGCCGUCUACUCUUGGACAGCCUUCUGAAAAGGAAGAUUAAAUACAAGAUGGCAUCAUGAGUCCGCAUGUUCACAUGAUUUAAAAGGGUAUUCCCGGGUAGACGGA